rnacentral:rRNA from 1 species
UCAGUACCGUGAGGGAAAGGCGAAAAGAACCCCGGGAGGGGAGUGAAAUAGAUCCUGAAACCGCAUGCUUACAAAAAGUCGGAGCCCUUUGGGGUGACGGCGUACCUUUUGUAUAAUGGGUCAGCGACUUACUGUUCGUGGCAAGCUUAACCGUAUAGGGGAGGCGAAGGGAAACCGAGUCUGAUAAGGGCGCAUAGUCGCGGGCAGUAGACCCGAAACCGGGUGAUCUAGUCAUGGCCAGGGUGAAGGUGCCGUAACAGGUACUGGAGGCCCGAACCCACGUCUGUUGCAAAAGACGGGGAUGAGCUGUGAUUAGGAGUGAAAAGCUAAUCGAACCCGGAGAUAGCUGGUUCUCCUCGAAAGCUAUUUAGGUAGCGCCUCGGACGAAUACUACUGGGGGUAGAGCACUGUUAUGGCUAGGGGGUCAUCGCGACUUACCAAACCAUUGCAAACUCCGAAUACCAGUACGUACUAUCCGGGAGACACACGGCGGGUGCUAACGUCCGUCGUGAAAAGGGAAACAACCCAGACCCACAGCUAAGGUCCCAAAUUCACUGCUAAGUGGAAAACGAUGUGGAAAGGCAUAGACAGCCAGGAGGUUGGCUUAGAAGCAGCCACCCUUUAAAGAAAGCGUAAUAGCUCACUAGUCGAGUCGGCCUGCGCGGAAGAUGUAACGGGGCUAAGCCAGUCACCGAAGCUGCGGAUAUGUCUUUGACAUAUGGUAGGAGAGCGUUCUGUAAGCCUGCGAAGGUGUCUUGUAAAGGAUGCUGGAGGUAUCAGAAGUGCGAAUGCUGACAUGAGUAGCGUUAAAGGGGGUGAAAAGCCCCCUCGCCGUAAGCGCAAGGUUUCCUACGCAACGUUCAUCGGCGUAGGGUGAGUCGGCCCCUAAGGCGAGGCAGAGAUGCGUAGCUGAUGGGAAACAGGUCAAUAUUCCUGUACCGAUCAAUAGUGCGAUGUGGGGACGGAGAAGGUUAGCUCAGCCAACUGUUGGAUAUGUUGGUUCAAGCCUGUAGUCGUGCCUGGUAGGCAAAUCCGCCGGGCUUAGAUGAGGGGUGAUAACGAGUCUGCUUGCAGACGAAGUGAGUGAUACCCUGCUUCCAGGAAAAGCCACUAAGCUUCAGCUUGCAGCUGACCGUACCGCAAACCGACACUGGUGCGCGAGAUGAGUAU